rnacentral:rRNA from 1 species
AACGAACGCUGGCGGCAUGCCUAACACAUGCAAGUCGAACGAGCCCUUCGGGUCUAGUGGCGCACGGGUGCGUAACGCGUGGGAACCUGCCCUUAGGUUCGGAAUAACUCCCCGAAAGGGGUGCUAAUACCGGAUAAUGUCUUCGGACCAAAGAUUUAUCGCCUUUGGAUGGGCCCGCGUUGGAUUAGCUAGUUGGUAGGGUAAAAGCCUACCAAGGCGACGAUCCAUAGCUGGUCUGAGAGGAUGAUCAGCCACACUGGGACUGAGACACGGCCCAGACUCCUACGGGAGGCAGCAGUGGGGAAUAUUGCACAAUGGGCGAAAGCCUGAUCCAGCAAUGCCGCGUGAGUGAUGAAGGCCUUAGGGUUGUAAAGCUCUUUUACCCGGGAUGAUAAUGACAGUACCGGGAGAAUAAGCUCCGGCUAACUCCGUG